AGAAGCCAGGACUAGAGGUGGCAUUCAUAAUUUUUACUCACAUUCUAUUGCUGGAGCUUAAUCACAGGGUGAUCUAAACACAAGGAAGGCUGAGAAAUUAGGUUUCUUCAUGAAUCCAGGAAGAAAGAAAUAGAAUCAUCUUCUCCACAGGGACCCAUCCUGUUGUUCAGCAGGCAAAUUGACAGAGAGCAGUGUUGCGUGCUGGGCAGUUCACUGUCAGAGAUUCAAAGAGGCUUCUGGAUGAGUUACCUCAGAGUUAUCCACAAGUCAUCAAGUGGCAAACUUGGAAGAGUGAUGGUAGAAUAUUGGAUGACAGUGUCUACUAGCAGAGAAAUCAAAAUGUCUAACAGUAGAUGUAAAGUGGAUGCAAUGUCUGUAUCCAACAGACAUUAUGUGGCUUUGAAUUUAGGCACUGUAAUUAUAACCUAGAAGACUCUGUAAGAGUCUUCAUGGGAAAAUCAUCACAGGAAGAAGAGAAACAAGUUGCAGCAAAAGUCACAGUGGGGUAGCUGUCCCUAGAGUUGAACAGACACAUUUCAAGCCUUAUCCAAGUUUAGGACUUUUGGAAAGCAUUGCAGUUGCGAAUAAGAGAAUGUGCUUGGAAUCUUACUCUUGUGCAUUGAAGAAGGAUAAGAAACAGGAAGAAGUAGAAGAAUAAGGGGCUGGAGAUCAAGACCUACCCAUUGUGAUGAAUAAAUCCAGGCUCUCAGCAAUGCAGGGAGAAAAAGUUUUGUCUAUCAACACUGCAGCAACCAGUCUCUUAGCACAGGCACCAGCCCUGGAGUUCAUGUCCUCAUCAAAGGAUGGAAAGAAGCAAAGCUCAAAUCAGCUUGGGAAGGACCUUACCUAGUGCUCCUGACCACUGUAACCAUCAUCCAGACAGCAGAGAAAGGAUGGACUCAUUAUACCCGAGUCAAAGUGUUGCCACCUCCACAGUCAUGGGCCAUUGUUCCAGGGGAAAGCCCUACCAAAUUAAAGCUAAGAAAAACUUAUCACCUUUCC
rnacentral:lncRNA from 1 species